CAGUCGCCGCGGGAAAACGAAGGGUGCAAGCGUUACUCGGAAUUACUGGGCGUAAAGCGUGCGCAGGCGGUUAUAUAAGACAGAUGUGAAAUCCCCGGGCUCAACCUGGGAACUGCAUUUGUGACUGUAUAGCUAGAGUACGGCAGAGGGGGAUGGAAUUCCGCGUGUAGCAGUGAAAUGCGUAGAUAUGCAGAGGAACACCGAUGGCGAAGGCAAUCCCCUGGGCCUGUACUGACGCUCAUGCACGAAAGCGUGGGGAGCAAACAGGAUUAGAUACCCCCGUAGUCCCUGUCUCUUAUAC
rnacentral:rRNA from 1 species